rnacentral:rRNA from 1 species
GGGGUAAAAUUAAUAAUAAGAGGGUUAAUAAAAAAAAUUUUAAUAUUAAAAUAAUUUAAUGGGGGUUAAAGUAUUUUAAUAGAAAAAAUUUGAAUUUUUAUAGUUAAAUAGUAUUGUGAAAGAAUUUUGAAAUAUUUUGAAAUUGAAUUUAUAAGAAAGUAAAUUUAAUUUAUUGUAUCUUGGGUAUCAGAGUUUAUUAAAAAUUUUUUAUUGAUUUUUAAAUUUCUCGAAUUUAAAAGAGAUAAUUAAUUAGAAAAGUUAUUGUUGAAUAAAUAUUUUAAAUAAUUAAUUUGAAAUGAAACGUUAAUCGUUUUUAAAUAUAUCUAGUUUUUUUAGAAUAAAAUUUAAUUUUAAAUUUUAAUAUAAAAGUUAUUAAUUAAUUUAAUAAUUUUUUAUUAAAAUUAUAUAUUUUAAGGGAUAAGCUUUAAAUUAAAUUUUUAUAAUAAUUUAAAUUUUUAAUAUAAAAUUUUUAUAAUUUAUAUUGUUAAUAAAUUAUAUUUUUUUAUAAAUAAUUUUAUAAAAAUAUUAAAAUUUAAUUUUAAAUUUAAAUUUUUAUAAAAAAAAAUUUUUUAAUAUAUAAAAUUUAGUUAUUAUGAUAAAAUUAGUAUAUAAAUAAAUGUAAUUUAUAAAUUAAAGUUAUUUAAUUUUAAUUAAAAUUAAUUAAAAGGAAUUCGGCAAAUUUUUAUAUUCACUUGUUUAUCAAAAACAUGUCUUUUUGGUUAUAAUUUAAAGUCUAAUCUGCCCACUGAUAUAAUUAAAGGGCUGCAGUAUUUUGACUGUACAAAGGUAGCAUAAUCAUUAGUCUCUUAAUUGGUGACUUGUAUGAAAGAUUGGAUGAAAUAUAAGCUGUCUUUAAAUUAUAUUAUUGAAUUUAAUUUUUUAAUUAAAAAGUUAAAAUAAAUUAAAAAGACGAGAAGACCCUAUAGAGUUUUAUAAUUUUUAUAAAUUAAAAUUAUUUUUAAUUUUUUAAUUAAAAUUUAUUAUAAAUUAUUUUAUUGGGGUGAUGAAAAAAUUUAAUAAACUUUUUUUAUAAGAAUUCAUUGAUAAGUGAUUAAAUGAUCCAAUUUUAUUGAUUAUAAGAUUAAAUUACCUUAGGGAUAACAGCGUAAUUUUUUUUUUUAGUUCAAAUAAAAAAAAGAGUUUGCGACCUCGAUGUUGGAUUAAGAUAAAAUUUAUAUGCAAAAGUAUAAAAUUUUUGAUCUGUUCGAUCAUUAAAAUCUUACAUGAUCUGAGUUCAAACCGGUGUGAGCCAGGUUGGUUUCUAUCUUUUAAUAAAAAAAAUAUUUUAGUACGAAAGGAUCAAAUAUUUUAAUUAAAUUAAUGGUUAAAUGAAUUUUAUUAAAUUUUAUAUAAAUUUUUAUAUUUUUUAAAAAUAAAUU